UCUCCGUUGGUGAACCAGCGGAGGGAUCAUUACCGAGUUUACAACUCCCCAACCCCCUGUGAACAUACCUACCGUUGCCUCGGCGGGAUCGCCCCGGCCGCCCAGCGCGCCGGACCAAGGCCCCCGCCGCAGGAACCCAAAACUCCUGUCAGUCAUCAGUGGAUUAUUCUGAGUGGCCCUCCGGGGCCUUUGAAAAAUAAAUCAAAACUUUCAACAACGGAUCUCUUGGUUCUGGCAUCGAUGAAGAACGCAGC
rnacentral:misc_RNA from 1 species